rnacentral:rRNA from 1 species
UACGAAGGGGGCAAGCGUUGUUCGGAAUUACUGGGCGUAAAGGGCUCGUAGGCGGCCAACUAAGUCCGACGUGAAAUCCCAAAGCUUAACUUUGGAACUGCGUCGGAUACUGGAUGGCUUGAAUUCGGGAGAGGGAUGCAGAAUUCCAGGUGUAGCGGUGAAAUGCGCAGAUAUCAGGAGGAACACCGGUGGCGAAGGCGGGUCUCUGGGCAGUAACUGACGCUGAGGAGCGAAAGCGUGGGGAGCGAACAGG